UGUGCAUUAAUGAUAUGUACUGUACUUUAGUUUGAUUGUGGUUCCGUAAGGAGUUGCAUCAAACCGAUCUAAACCAGACAAAUUAGAAAAUAAAACUUUGGGUUUCAGUUUCGAUGUAAAUAAGAACAAUAUAUAUAACCGAAAAAUCGGAAAUAACUGAAACAAAACCAAACCGGAUUGCCAACACGUUGUUUCCUUACCUUAGGACUGUCGGAGCCGGGAGUGACCAUGUUAGGUUUAAGCAGGGUGCCUUCAAGGAGGACAUGGUGGUCGUUCAAGGCCUUGUACACGGCAGCAAGAACCGUCUCAGUCACCGCGGCACAUUUCUUGAUGUCGUGGCUCCCGUCGGUCAGCACCUCUGGCUCGACGAUCGGGACAAGGCCGUUCUCCUGGCAGAUGAUGGCAUAGCGGGCUAGCCCUUUGGCAUUCUCUUGGAUUGAGAGCUCGCUUGGCUCUGUUGCUCCAAUCUUGAGGACUGCGCGCCAUUUAGCAAACCGGGCUCCUGCCUUGUAAUACUCCUGGCACCGCGCACCAAGCGAGUCUAGACCCUGCGUAGUGGUCUCGCCGUUGGUCCCUGCUAGAUCAACCACACCCUUGUCCACUUUAAUUCCGGGGAUAACACCGUUCUCCUGAUACAAAAAAAAAAGAUCCAAAUUGAAACCGUAAGUUCCAAGCAACUCAAGAGCUUGGAGUCAUGUCAAGAGCUUCAACCAAGCAACUCAUGAACCCAAUGAUUAAGACUAGAGAUGGAGUUUGAUUUUUCUGGGACGGACCAUGAGAAGAUCGACGAAGGGUUUGCCAUCAGAGGUUUUCUGGUAGAGGGUUUCCUCGAAGAGGAUAACACCAGAGAGGCAAGGAACGGUGCCAGGGGAAGUGAAGAGGAGCUCACGGAGAGCUUGGCGGUUGGACUCAAUGUUCUCAACAUUGAUGCUGGCGAAUCGUUUCCCAAUGGUUCCUGUGCUCUCGUCUGCUGCCAAAAUUCCCUUUCCCGGUGUUGCAAUGUAUUUGGCUGUCUUGAUCAGCUCAUCUGAACUCAGAAAACAAAUAUAAGAGAAAAAUCUAAUGAAGAAACUGGAACAUGAGGAGUUGUUAAACGAGAAGAGUGCAUGCUACGUGUACUUACCUGCGUAUUUGCCUACAAAAGCAGACAUGGUUGCUUUUUUAAGGGGAAGAGAGAUGAGUUCUUGCUGAAGAGGACGAGGAUGCCAAGACAAAGCCUUAAGUACCUGCAACUUUUGACAGUAUAAUAUAGGUAAUAUCGAGGGAGGAAUAUACUGUUAGAAUAUGUCUUACGUGUCGGAAGGAGAGCCCGAGGAAGAUUAUCAACCUCGGAUAAAGCAGAUGAGUGAUUGUUUCGACACUACCAAAUGCCAGCCAGUGAUACCAGCUUUAUCCCCAAAGGUCUUGGAUAUGUGGAGAAGAGAAAGAGAUAGGUACAAAACAAAAGCAGAGUGUUUUGUAUACUACCUCUCUCACACUUCAACCACACGUGUGUGCAUCCAAACUUAUUAACAGAGACAAAGAGAUAUUUUUCUUUGGAUAUAAAAGCUUAUGGAGUAGUAUCAAGAUUCCAAUGAUAUCUAUAUAUGGUGUACCAAAUCCCAAGUCUCGGGUUUGAUCAACCCCUCCUUUGGGCAUUUAUAAGUAAAUCUAAACUGUUCUCAAGAACUUGAUGAGAGGGUUUAAACCAACAGAUGUAAAGGGUGAUUCUUUUGAUAGUUUGUAUAGCCGUUGUAGUGGAUAGUAUGGUGAAUACAUCAAUAAACUGCACUGCAGGACAUGGAAGGCACAACCUAAUGCUGCAGGACCACAUACAGUGAUCUAUCUAGUCCUCAUCUGUUCCAAAAUAUCUGUCCCAAAGUCACCUAUGCCAGGAAUAACACAAAACUCUUCAUUUAAUCCAUUUUCGAUUUUAGAUGUCACUAUCUCUAUUCUUGGGUCAUUUUGGCAAAAAAAAAAUUCUCAAUCUAGCUGCAUUCUUGUGGAUAAACAUGGAUGAGUAAUCACAAGUCACAAGAGGUGUUAAGUGAUAUGAAAAGGAGGUGUGUUAGCUUACUCCUUGCAGAGAUAAUGUUUACUUGCAAAAUCCUUACUCACUGUUCGUCCAAGUUUAACCAUCAAUUCCAGUAUUUUUGUAACGAAACUGGUUAUUUUGUUUCAACUUUCAAGUCAUUCUCUUGAAAUUCUUAUAUAUGAUAGAAGUUUUUUUUAAAAUGUUUUGUAAUCUUUUUGUUGAAAUCCAUUGGUGCUCAAAUCACAUUGAAGGCUUGAACUAUAUAACGAAUUUACUCUCAACUCACAAAUUUAUACUUUCUAAUCUAAUCUUAUUAUACUACUACAAUACAAGUCCAAUCAAAAUCUUUUAUAAUGUUAUUUAAUCAACUCUGCCGGAUUAACUAAUAUCUAGAGUUUGACAGUAAAUGGAUAUAAAACAAUGAUUACUAUUAGUUUGCAAAUUGAACAUUUGAAUAGUUAAACUCCCACGAAACAUUUGACAUAUAAUACUCAAAACCACAUCAAAAGCGAACACCCGUUCUCAAACGAUCCUAGUACCUGUAUCCUAUGAUCGGAUCCAACGACUCAGAGGUGGCGGAGUCACCAGAAGUACCUGUGUAUUUCCCGAGGGUAGCGUCCGAGUUAGCCUUGUACCUAAUCAGGAACUUUGCCUGAGCUUUGGCUACGUUUUCGGUCUUACCGGCCCAAGUCUUGAGAGCGCUUUGCUGGAGAGCUCCGCCGAAAGAAAAAGUGAGCGUCCAUGGCUUCAACACAUCAAGCUUGUUCAUUGCGUUUAGAUUUAGUGUCGCUUGCUCUUCGCGCUGCACGCCUGAGAGGAACACGAUUCCCGGAACAGCUGGUGGGACUGUGCGGCGCAGAGCAGUCACCGUGUAUUCCGCGAUUACUUCUGGUGCAACCUGUUAGAAGUACAAUUUAAGCGUUUUGUAGCAAAUUAACGGUGCAUUUCGAAGUAUAUAUGUCUUUGUGAUUCAUUUGAUUGUGGUUCCCAAAAGAGCGGGCAUGCAAAUCUUUAAAAAACUCAAUCAAACCGCUCUAAACCAAACUUUGGUUUGACUAUUAUUUCAGUUUCAAUACCUUUGGGCUGUCGAAGCCGGGAGUGACCAUGUUAGGUUUAAGCAGGAUGCCUUCGAGGAGGACAUGAUGGUCGUUCAAGGCCUUGAACACGGCAGCAAGAACCAUCUCGGUCACCGCCGCACAUUUCUUGAUGUCGUGGCUCCCACGGGUCAGCACUUCUGGCUCGACGAU
rnacentral:lncRNA from 1 species